AAACCAACCGGGAUUGCUUUAGUAACGGCGAGUGAAGCGGCAAAAGCUCAAAUUUGAAAUCUGGUACCUUCGGUGCCCGAGUUGUAAUUUGGAGAGGGCAACUUUGGGGCCGUUCCUUGUCUAUGUUCCUUGGAACAGGACGUCAUAGAGGGUGAGAAUCCCGUGUGGCGAGGAGUGCGGUUCUUUGUAAAGUGCCUUCGAAGAGUCGAGUUGUUUGGGAAUGCAGCUCUAAGUGGGUGGUAAAUUCCAUCUAAAGCUAAAUAUUGGCGAGAGACCGAUAGCGAACAAGUACAGUGAUGGAAAGAUGAAAAGAACUUUGAAAAGAGAGUGAAAAAGUACGUGAAAUUGUUGAAAGGGAAGGGCAUUUGAUCAGACAUGGUGUUUUGUGCCCUCUGCUCCUUGUGGGUAGGGGAAUCUCGCAUUUCACUGGGCCAGCAUCAGUUUUGGUGGCAGGAUAAAUCCAUAGGAAUGUAGCUUGCCUCGGUAAGUAUUAUAGCCUGUGGGAAUACUGCC
rnacentral:rRNA from 1 species